rnacentral:rRNA from 1 species
UUCCCCCGUUCGGGGGGACGAGGGUGACAGGUGGUGCAUGGUUGUCGUCAGCUCGUGUCGUGAGAUGUUGGGUUAAGUCCCGCAACGAGCGCAACCCUUAUUGCUAGUUACCAUCAUUGAGUUGGGGACUCUAGCGAGACUGCCAGCGAUAAGCUGGAGGAAGGUGGGGAUGACGUCAAAUCAUCAUGCCCCUUAUGACCUGGGCUACAAACGUGAUACAAUGGCUGGAACAAAGGGAGGCGAAGGGGUGACCUGGAGCGAAACCCAAAAAUACAGUCUCAGUUCGGAUUGAAGUCUGCAACUCGACUUCAUGAAGUCGGAAUCGCUAGUAAUCGCGGAUCAGAACGCCGCGGUGAAUACGUUCUCGGGGUUU